rnacentral:rRNA from 1 species
CAGUAGCCGCGGUAAUACGAAGGGUGCAAGCGUUACUCGGAAUUACUGGGCGUAAAGCGUGCGUAGGUGGUUGUUUAAGUCUGCUGUGAAAGCCCUGGGCUCAACCUGGGAAUUGCAGUGGAUACUGGGCAACUAGAGUAAGGUAGAGGAUAGUGGAAUUUCCGGUGUAGCAGUGAAAUGCGUAGAGAUCGGAAGGAACAUCUGUGGCGAAGGCGACUAUCUGGGCCAUUACUGACACUGAGGCACGAAAGCGUGGGGAGCAAACAGGAUUAGAUACCCGUGUAGUCCCUGUCUCUUAUAC